UCGGGAUAGCUCAGCUGGUAAAGCAAAGGACUGAAAA
rnacentral:tRNA from 1 species